AGCUGUAACACUCACUGCGAAGGUCCACGGCUUCAUUCUUGAAGUCAGCGAGACCACAAACCCACCAGUAGGAUCUAUCUCUGGACACAGAGCCCAAGUUCUGAUGCUAUCAGCAGUCUCUACUGUGGCAAAGAUGAAGGACAAAUCCAACACUUUCUAGGGCUAAAGGUGAAGUUCCGAUGAGGAUGAUGGUGGGGAUGAUGAUGAUGAUAAUAAUGGUGAUGCUGAUGAUGGUGAUGGAGAUACUAACAAUGAUAAUGAAGAUGAUAUGAUGAUGAUGAUAAUGGUGUAGUGACGGUGACAAUGAUGAUGGUCAUGGUGAUGAUGACAAUGAAGACUUCUCAUCCACAGAGAUUCUGGCUUAAUUGGUUUGCGGCCUUAAUAUUACUUCGAUAACCAGGACCUCUGAUAACCUGCCCCCACCGAGUAAAGACUUAGCUGGGAAAGUCAGCUUCAUGUGAGGUAAAAGGAACCAGCCCUCUUGUGCAUGCUUUCCUGCCUUUCCACCUUCUGCUAUGGGAUGACACAGCAAGAAGGCCCUCACCAGAUGCAGCUCCUUGAUCUUGGACU
rnacentral:lncRNA from 1 species